rnacentral:ncRNA from 20 species
AUUUUGUUAAAAAAAGAUUUGACAUUACUUAACAAUACAUGAUAUACUAAUAAAGUAGUUCAAAUUACUAAUAAUAUUACCGCGGGAUGGAGCAGUUCGG